rnacentral:rRNA from 1 species
UUAAAAAGCUCGUAGUUGGAUUUCUGGGAGGGUGCCAAUGUCCGUCAACGUGCGUGUGCAGCGGCGCCCUUCCAUCCUUCUGUUAACGCCUCUGGGCAUUUAUUUGCUGGUGGCGGGCUCAGAUAUUUUACCUUGAGAAAAUUAGAGUGUUUCAGGCAGGCUAGGCCGGAAUACAUUAGCAUGGAAUAAUAGAAUAGGACUAUGGUCUCUUUGUUGGUUUGAGGGACUAUGGUAAUGAUUAAUAGGGAUAGUUGGGGGCAUUAGCAUUUAAUUGUCAGAGGUGGAAUUCUCAGAUUUGUUAAAGACUAACUUAUGCGAAAGCAUUCGCCAAGGAUGUUUUCAUUAAUCAAGAACGAAAGUUAGGGGAUCAAAGACGAUCAGAUACCGUCCUAGUCUUAACCAUAAACUAUGCCGACUCGGGAUCGGGGGCGCGAACUAUCCGCCUUCGGCACCGUAUGAGAAAUCAAAGUCU